rnacentral:sRNA from 1 species
GCUGUAUAAUCGAUUGCCGGCAUGAUCUGUUGAAUGCCCGCGGCAGCCACAAGGCCGUCGAUUCUGUGGUGGCUUCCUGCGAUUUUCACAACUGUGUCGUUGAGGAAUUUCGUGUCCCGCACAUCGGUAUGAUGGUAAUGCAGCGAGCCAACAUGGGAUCUGGCUGCUAGCUCUUGCGUUUCAACAAAUUCAGGAGCGGGUUUCUUCAGUAUAUCAAGACAGUGCACUGGGAUAGGAGAUAUGUUAUUACGUUUAUCGACCCCGGUUUUGUUUGUGAAGCUCAUGUUGCAGGGGACAGACCUUCAGCACCGGCUUCAGUCAUUGCCUCUGCCAUGCAUAGCCCUAGUCCCCGACCACCUCCAGUUACGACGUAUACUUUAUUCUUUAAACUAAAGUUCGGGUACACCUUUUGAUGGUGAUGGUUGCGGUGGGAGUGGCAUUUAUGCGAGCUGUUGUUGGUGGCCAUCGUGUAAGUCAGUCAAGUCAGACUUUGAUUCAUGCGAUGAAAUGUACGAAUUGGUUGCUUUGGCAAUAGUCGGAAC